rnacentral:snRNA from 1 species
AUUUCUUCUUGGCCUUGGCUAAGAUCAAGUGUAGCAUCUGUUCUUAUCAGUUUAAUAUCUGAUAUGUCCUCUAUCCAAGGACUAUAUAUGAAAUGGAUUUUUGGAGCAGGAAAAUGGAAUAAGAGCUUGUUCUGUCCUCUCCAUGCAUCAAUCUGGUAUUGCAGUACUUUCAGGAAUGGUGCAACCCCU